AAAACAGAAAAUAAAAACAAAGUUUACCACUUCAGCAAGUGUCUAAACCAUUAACAACACUUUUCAUCAAAGUUUAAACACUUUUCACUGAUUGACAUGAGACACUCUGAUUGGUUGUUUUUUUUUGUUUGCCACUAAGGUGUUUAACCACUCGUUACACCCUUAAAGCACAAAGAAGCAAUUAUUCUCCUAGAGCAGCCUAUUAGAAGUAGUAGGAGAAAUAAAAAGGAACGUUUCACCAGGUAUCACGAGUUGCAGCAGUAGCGUAUGAAUUGAAGGAACUUCAGCAGGUAUAAUUUUGCCCGGAAUCAGCAAGUUAUCAACAGCAAAGAUCUGAAUUUAACACCAAUUUGCUCACACUUGGUAACCAAGACUUUGAGUCUUGAAGCCCUAAUUUCAUGCGACAGCAGAAGGAACAAAUUUGACUGAUAAAACAGCGAUUGAAACUAGCAAUUUUGACCAGGGGCAGGAGAGUACACCAACAACCAACAAUUUAAAGAAGCGGAAUUGAAGUAAUGCUAAGGUCAAGAUAUUGUAUGUUAGAAUGGGCACUGGAAUUCAAAUAAGUGGGUGAAAAGGGGGCAUUGUGAAGCCCACAGCUUGACAAAUGCAAUUCCGAUAAAGAAGGGAUCAUGUUCAACAGGUUCACAGAGUUCCAUGCCAAACUAAGAUUACAGUAUGAAAGAUCGAGGAAUGUUAAGGAUGUCAUGUUUUGAAAAAAAGUGUGGGAGUUGGCCUUUAAAACAGUUGAAGCUAAGAUCCAGAUGUUCAAUGAAGGGGUGUAGGAUUAAUCUUGACGUUUCCAGUUCGGGUCAUGGAUAUGGGUCGGAAAUGGAGCUUCGUAGGUCAAAUGGGUUGGAUAAUUUUAGUUAAUUAGUCACAUGUUUUUAGUGUUUUAAUUAGUCAAGGGUUACUUUUGUUUAAGAGUAGUGGGUCAAAACAUGGGCUUGUUUUACUAUUUUAUAGAAGAUAAUGGGCUAAGUUGUUAUUCAUGUACGUCUAAAGAGUCUGUAUAUAUUUAGGGUUUUAUCAAUGAAUGAAAGUGUGGAGUUCAAGCAGAAAUUUAAUCCCUAUGUAAGUGAGUGUUUUUGUGAGUUUGAAGCUUGAAACCCAACAAGGGGGGUGUUUUACUUGAAUUAAGGUGAAGACCAAGAUCAGAAUUAGAAAGUUGACAGCCUCUCAAACUUAAAUAUGUUAAUGAAGGAAUCAUGUAAAAUAUCUUAUCAACAUUAUUUGCUUGAAAAAGAUUUACGUUAUUCAAGUCAAGAUGCUCAAGUGAUGAAAGGCCAGAAACCCAUGCCAUAUCAUUUGGACUGACAAUAUAAUCAGAUGAAGAUGAAUCAAGAUCCAGAACCUUCAAAUUGGAGAGAUUUCCAAUGUGAUGUGGAAUAAUACCAAUAAAACCUGCAUUUGAGAAACUGAGGAAGUAAAUGACUGAACUGACAGCAGUUGGUGUCAACGAAGAUGACAAUGUGGCCCUAGAGUACAACUGUAACAAUGUCAAGAAAGCAAAGCUCAAUUCAACACUAGCUGCACUCCUUGAUGAUCAUGUGCUUGCAGAUGUACCAAAGAAGCCAACUCUAUCACAUGUUGACAGUUGACACCCUGAUCAGCUUGGAACUUGGGAGUGCUAUGCGUGUUUCUGUACUUAAAUUAGACUGCACAUCUUUUGAUGUUGCUGUGAUGAAUUCUGUAACAGUCAAGGACUUGAAACCUGCUGUCGAGAAAAAGUCAAUGAAUGUGAUCCCGUAAAAUACCGAAUGCGAUUGAAUGCGAUCCCAUCAUUAGAGUUUAAAAUGGUGAUAUGGGCAUAAAUGGUUUCAAAAGAAUUUAAAAUGGUGAUAUGGGCAGGUCGGGCAUUCGGUCAAAACUGGUCACCUUUAUGUGAUCCGGUAAUUAGAAUUUUGUGAAUAUUCAAUUAUUGAAUGCGAUUACAAACAACUUAAGACGUUGUGUACGUUUAGUUUCAUUUUUAGGGAAUUUUUAAAUCUAAUCUGUUUGACCCGUUAUCAAUCAAAUCUGACCCGAAUUGGCCAGAUUUCGUAUAAAUGGUUUAAAAUUUCCACCUUUAUGGUACUAUGUUUCUCAUGAAUCAAUUAUUAAAAAAAAAUACUCUUUUCCAUUGAUAUUUUCAAAAACAAUGAAAAGCUUCUGAAUGAUGCUGCAGUUCUUCAAGAUCAUGGUUUACGAAAUCACUCUCAGGGUGACUUUUAUCCCAUAUGUAAUGUCGAGAACCUCAAAACGCCAUUCACGAAGGAGAAAACAUAGGUUUUUUCAUGGUCUUUUCAAAAAAAGGUUUUUUCAUUGUAAUUGCAGUUGAUAAGGUGGUACAACUUCUCCAUGAACAUCUAGAUGCCUGCCAAUGUCAUGUUUAAUUUCUCAAUCUUACUAGAAUAACAGAAUCGGGCAAAGUGAUUUUGAGUAGAGGGUUGAAGAUUCUA